UACGGGGGGAGCAAGCGUUGUCCGGAAUUAUUGGGCGUAAAGAGCUCGUAGGCGGCCUGUUGCGUCCGCUGUGAAAUCCCGGGGCUAACCCCGGGCGUGCAGUGGAUACGGGCAGGCUGGAGGCAGGCAGGGGAGAACGGAAUUCCCGGUGUAGCGGUGAAAUGCGCAGAUAUCGGGAGGAACACCGGUGGCGAAGGCGGUUCUCUGGGACGGUACUGACGCUGAGACGCGAAAGCGUGGGGAGCGAACAGG
rnacentral:rRNA from 1 species